GCAAAGUCCUAUGGAAGCCCCCAUCUGGGCAUCUUGUCCUCAGAGACCCAGUAGGGCAAAGGCAAGAGGAAAAGUUCUCCCACAUCCUCUUCAGAAUUUGAUCCCAAGGAAAUACAGCCAAACAUGAUGCCCCACCCACAGAAAGAAAGCUUACUCGUCAGUAGCUAUCCAGCCAAGUCUCCAGUUGCUGACUCUCUUCAGGAGGAACACAGGAGAAGAUGCAAGGAAAAGAAGGAGACCACACCCUGCCAUUGGACUUUUGGAAACUCUUUCAAAGGAGAAGGUGAGAAGAAACUGUCUGAUCUGAUUGCUGAAGGUGUUGGCACCCACUGAUAAAGCAGAUGCAAACCCCAAGUGGACUGUGACUUGAAGACCCAAGUAGAGUUUAUUUAUUAGGGAGGUUUUUAUGUGUCAAGGGAAGAACAUCAUAUAAAUACCACUGGUUCUAAACAAUGUUCCAUUAGAGUGGCAGCAUUUAGUAAUGUACUCCAUGGUAGAACCAAAGGACAUCUUGAGCAUGUUCCAUUGUUGCAUCUCAUUGGCUCUAAAAUGGAUCAUGUGAGCUGAGAUAGUAUGCAUAUUGCUGUGAUAAUAAAUCAGAAACACCACAUGACUUCAGUGCUGGACAAAUCACUGCAGAAUGGAAGACAAGCAGAAUAUCAAUCCCAGUGAGAAAAAAAAUUAUUGACCAUUUAAGGCAGAAUACUAUCAACUAUCUAAUUCUAUCGACUUGAAGCCAAGUGGUUUGUUGGUCUCCUCAGAGAAGACUAAAUUGGGACCAUAUUACAAAUUCUUUUUGUCACGGAAUUGGAUGCACGGUCAUGAGAGCAGCUAAAUAAACCUCAUGAGAGGCAACCCAUGGUUUUCAACCUGUGCAUAUUAUCCCUCUCUGCGACUCCAUCUAUGGGAUCCAUUGUGCUAGCAUUUGAAGA